rnacentral:lncRNA from 1 species
AUGUCACCAUGGACCUCAUAUCCCUCCAUGUUCCCGACGUUCCCCUGUGUUCCUCCACGUCCCCACUGUCCCCAACGCGUCCCAGUGCCAACGGGUCACCAAUGUUCCCAACGCGUCCCCAGUGCGUCCUCAAAGUGUCCCCGACGUGUCCCCCAUGUCCCCAAUGCGUCCCAAACGCGUCCCCCGUGUCCCCGACGUGUCCCCCAUGUCCCCAACGCGUCCCCUAUGUCCCCAACGCGUCCCCCAUGUCCCCGACGCCCCCCCAGUGUCCCCAACGCGUCCCCACGUACUGCAGUCGUACUGGAUGAGGCGCAGGUCGGGGAAGUGGGUGCGCAUGUUGGCCACGACGCGGUGCAGCCCACGUCCUCCAUGUCCCCAACGCGUCCCCAACGCGUCCCCCAUGUCCCCAACGCCCCCCACAGUGUCCCCAACGCGUCCCCACGUACCGCAGUCGUACUGGAUGAGGCGCAGGUCGGGGAAGUGGGUGCGCAUGUUGGCCACGACGCGGUGCAGCCCACGUCCUCCAUGUCCCCAACGCGUCCCCAACGCGUCCCCCAUGUCCCCAACGCCCCCCACAGUGUCCCCAACGCGUCCCCACGUACCGCAGUCGUACUGGAUGAGGCGCAGGUCGGGGAAGUGGGUGCGCAUGUUGGCCACGACGCGGUGCAGCCCACGUCCUCCAUGUCCCCAACGCGUCCCCAACGCGUCCCCCAUGUCCCCAACGCCCCCCACAGUGUCCCCAACGCGUCCCCACGUACCGCAGUCGUACUGGAUGAGGCGCAGGUCGGGGAAGUGGGUGCGCAUGUUGGCCACGACGCGGUGCAGCCCACGUCCUCCAUGUCCCCAACGCGUCCCCAACGCGUCCCCCAUGUCCCCAACGCCCCCCACAGUGUCCCCAACGCGUCCCCACGUACCGCAGUCGUACUGGAUGAGGCGCAGGUCGGGGAAGUGGGUGCGCAUGUUGGCCACGACGCGGUGCAGCCCACGUCCUCCAUGUCCCCAACGCGUCCCCAACGCGUCCCCCAUGUCCCCAACGCCCCCCACAGUGUCCCCAACGCGUCCCCACGUACCGCAGUCGUACUGGAUGAGGCGCAGGUCGGGGAAGUGGGUGCGCAUGUUGGCCACGACGCGGUGCAGCCCACGUCCUCCAUGUCCCCAACGCGUCCCCAACGCGUCCCCCAUGUCCCCAACGCCCCCCACAGUGUCCCCAACGCGUCCCCACGUACCGCAGUCGUACUGGAUGAGGCGCAGGUCGGGGAAGUGGGUGCGCAUGUUGGCCACGACGCGGUGCAGCCCACGUCCUCCAUGUCCCCAACGCGUCCCCAACGCGUCCCCCAUGUCCCCAACGCCCCCCACAGUGUCCCCAACGCGUCCCCACGUACCGCAGUCGUACUGGAUGAGGCGCAGGUCGGGGAAGUGGGUGCGCAUGUUGGCCACGACGCGGUGCAGCCCACGUCCUCCAUGUCCCCAACGCGUCCCCAACGCGUCCCCCAUGUCCCCAACGCCCCCCACAGUGUCCCCAACGCGUCCCCACGUACCGCAGUCGUACUGGAUGAGGCGCAGGUCGGGGAAGUGGGUGCGCAUGUUGGCCACGACGCGGUGCAGCCCACGUCCUCCAUGUCCCCAACGCGUCCCCAACGCGUCCCCCAUGUCCCCAACGCCCCCCACAGUGUCCCCAACGCGUCCCCACGUACCGCAGUCGUACUGGAUGAGGCGCAGGUCGGGGAAGUGGGUGCGCAUGUUGGCCACGACGCGGUGCAGCCCACGUCCUCCAUGUCCCCAACGCGUCCCCAACGCGUCCCCCAUGUCCCCAACGCCCCCCACAGUGUCCCCAACGCGUCCCCACGUACCGCAGUCGUACUGGAUGAGGCGCAGGUCGGGGAAGUGGGUGCGCAUGUUGGCCACGACGCGGUGCAGCCCACGUCCUCCAUGUCCCCAACGCGUCCCCAACGCGUCCCCCAUGUCCCCAACGCCCCCCACAGUGUCCCCAACGCGUCCCCACGUACCGCAGUCGUACUGGAUGAGGCGCAGGUCGGGGAAGUGGGUGCGCAUGUUGGCCACGACGCGGUGCAGCCCACGUCCUCCAUGUCCCCAACGCGUCCCCAACGCGUCCCCCAUGUCCCCAACGCCCCCCACAGUGUCCCCAACGCGUCCCCACGUACCGCAGUCGUACUGGAUGAGGCGCAGGUCGGGGAAGUGGGUGCGCAUGUUGGCCACGACGCGGUGCAGCCCACGUCCUCCAUGUCCCCAACGCGUCCCCAACGCGUCCCCCAUGUCCCCAACGCCCCCCACAGUGUCCCCAACGCGUCCCCACGUACCGCAGUCGUACUGGAUGAGGCGCAGGUCGGGGAAGUGGGUGCGCAUGUUGGCCACGACGCGGUGCAGCCCACGUCCUCCAUGUCCCCAACGCGUCCCCAACGCGUCCCCCAUGUCCCCAACGCCCCCCACAGUGUCCCCAACGCGUCCCCACGUACCGCAGUCGUACUGGAUGAGGCGCAGGUCGGGGAAGUGGGUGCGCAUGUUGGCCACGACGCGGUGCAGCCCACGUCCUCCAUGUCCCCAACGCGUCCCCAACGCGUCCCCCAUGUCCCCAACGCCCCCCACAGUGUCCCCAACGCGUCCCCACGUACCGCAGUCGUACUGGAUGAGGCGCAGGUCGGGGAAGUGGGUGCGCAUGUUGGCCACGACGCGGUGCAGCCCACGUCCUCCAUGUCCCCAACGCGUCCCCAACGCGUCCCCCAUGUCCCCAACGCCCCCCACAGUGUCCCCAACGCGUCCCCACGUACCGCAGUCGUACUGGAUGAGGCGCAGGUCGGGGAAGUGGGUGCGCAUGUUGGCCACGACGCGGUGCAGCCCACGUCCUCCAUGUCCCCAACGCGUCCCCAACGCGUCCCCCAUGUCCCCAACGCCCCCCACAGUGUCCCCAACGCGUCCCCACGUACCGCAGUCGUACUGGAUGAGGCGCAGGUCGGGGAAGUGGGUGCGCAUGUUGGCCACGACGCGGUGCAGCCCACGUCCUCCAUGUCCCCAACGCGUCCCCAACGCGUCCCCCAUGUCCCCAACGCCCCCCACAGUGUCCCCAACGCGUCCCCACGUACCGCAGUCGUACUGGAUGAGGCGCAGGUCGGGGAAGUGGGUGCGCAUGUUGGCCACGACGCGGUGCAGCCCACGUCCUCCAUGUCCCCAACGCGUCCCCAACGCGUCCCCCAUGUCCCCAACGCCCCCCACAGUGUCCCCAACGCGUCCCCACGUACCGCAGUCGUACUGGAUGAGGCGCAGGUCGGGGAAGUGGGUGCGCAUGUUGGCCACGACGCGGUGCAGCCCACGUCCUCCAUGUCCCCAACGCGUCCCCAACGCGUCCCCCAUGUCCCCAACGCCCCCCACAGUGUCCCCAACGCGUCCCCACGUACCGCAGUCGUACUGGAUGAGGCGCAGGUCGGGGAAGUGGGUGCGCAUGUUGGCCACGACGCGGUGCAGCCCACGUCCUCCAUGUCCCCAACGCGUCCCCAACGCGUCCCCCAUGUCCCCAACGCCCCCCACAGUGUCCCCAACGCGUCCCCACGUACCGCAGUCGUACUGGAUGAGGCGCAGGUCGGGGAAGUGGGUGCGCAUGUUGGCCACGACGCGGUGCAGCCCACGUCCUCCAUGUCCCCAACGCGUCCCCAACGCGUCCCCCAUGUCCCCAACGCCCCCCACAGUGUCCCCAACGCGUCCCCACGUACCGCAGUCGUACUGGAUGAGGCGCAGGUCGGGGAAGUGGGUGCGCAUGUUGGCCACGACGCGGUGCAGCCCACGUCCUCCAUGUCCCCAACGCGUCCCCAACGCGUCCCCCAUGUCCCCAACGCCCCCCACAGUGUCCCCAACGCGUCCCCACGUACCGCAGUCGUACUGGAUGAGGCGCAGGUCGGGGAAGUGGGUGCGCAUGUUGGCCACGACGCGGUGCAGCCCACGUCCUCCAUGUCCCCAACGCGUCCCCAACGCGUCCCCCAUGUCCCCAACGCCCCCCACAGUGUCCCCAACGCGUCCCCACGUACCGCAGUCGUACUGGAUGAGGCGCAGGUCGGGGAAGUGGGUGCGCAUGUUGGCCACGACGCGGUGCAGCCCACGUCCUCCAUGUCCCCAACGCGUCCCCAACGCGUCCCCCAUGUCCCCAACGCCCCCCACAGUGUCCCCAACGCGUCCCCACGUACCGCAGUCGUACUGGAUGAGGCGCAGGUCGGGGAAGUGGGUGCGCAUGUUGGCCACGACGCGGUGCGAGCAAGAUUGGGGGUGCUCAGAGCCAGAUUGGGGGGCUCAGAGCCAAAUUAGGGUGCUCAGAGCAAGAUUGGGGGUGCUCAGAGCCAGAUUGGGGGGCUCAGAGCCAAAUUAGGGUGCUCAGAGCAAGAUUGGGGGUGCUCAGAGCCAGAUUGGGGGGCUCAGAGCCAAAUUAGGGUGCUCAGAGCAAGAUUGGGGGUGCUCAGAGCCAGAUUGGGGGGCUCAGAGCCAAAUUAGGGUGCUCAGAGCAAGAUUGGGGGUGCUCAGAGCCAGAUUGGGGGGCUCAGAGCCAAAUUAGGGUGCUCAGAGCAAGAUUGGGGGUGCUCGGAGCCAGAUUGGGGGGCUCAGAGCCAAAUUAGGGUGCUCAGAGCAAGAUUGGGGGUGCUCGGAGCCAGAUUAGGGGGUUCAGAGCCAAAUUAGGGUGCUCAGAGCAAGAUUGGGGGUGCUCGGAGCCAGAUUAGGGGGUUCAGAGCCAAAUUAGGGUGCUCCGAGCAAGAUUGGGGGUGCUCGGAGUCAGACUGGGGGGUUCAGAGCCAGAUUGGGGUGCUCCGAGCAAGAUUGGGGGGCUCGGAGCAAGAUCGGGGGUGCUCACAGCCACAUUGGGGGGCUCAGAGCCAAAUUGGGGUGCUCACAGCCACAUUGGGGUGUCCAGAGCCAAGUCAGGGUGCUCAGAGCCAAACUGGGGUGCUCAGGACAAGAUUGGGGGUGCUCAGAGCUGGGUCAGGGUGCCCAGGGCCAGACGAGAGGACCCAGGGCCAAAUUAAGGUGCCAAAAUUAGGGUGCCCAGGGCCAGAUUAAGGUGCCAACGGCCAGCUCAGGGUGCUCAGAGCUGGGUCAGGGUGCCCAGACCCAGAUUAAGGUGCCCAGGGCCAACUCAGGGUGUCCAGAGGCAGAUUAAAGGUGCCCAGAUCCAGCUCAGGGUGCCCAGACUCAGAUUAAGGUGCCCAGGACCGAGUCAGGGUGCCCAGGGCCAGAUUAAGGUGCCCAGGGCCAGCUCAGGGUGCCCAGACAUAGCUCAGAGCACCCAGACACAGAUUAAGGUGCCCAGAGUCAG